rnacentral:rRNA from 1 species
GAUGAACGCUGGCGGCGUGCCUAAUACAUGCAAGUCGAGCGAACAGACGAGGAGCUUGCUCCUCUGACGUUAGCGGCGCACGGGUGAGUAACACGUGGAUAACCUACCUAUAAGACUGGGAUACCUUCGGGAAACCGGAUCUAAUACCGGAUAAUAUAUUGAACCGCAUGGUUCAAUAGUGAAAGACGGUUUUGCUGUCACUUAUAGAUGGAUCCGCGCCGCUUUAGCUAGUUGGUAAGGUAACGGCUUACCAAGGCAACGAUGCGUAGCCGACCUGAGAGGGGGAUCGCCCACACGGGAACUGGAACGCGGUCCAGACUCCUGCGGGAGGCAGCAGAAGGGAAUCUUCGGCAAUGGGCGAAAGCCUGACGGAAUAACGCCGCGUGAGUGAUGAAGGUCUUCGGAUCGUAAAACUGUGUUAUUAGGGAAGAACAAAUGUGUAAGGAAAUAUGCACGUAUUGACGGUACCUAAUCAGAAAGCAACGGCUAACUACGUG